rnacentral:rRNA from 1 species
GUCUACGGCCAUACCACCCUGAACGCGCCCGAUCUCGGCUGAUCUUGGAAGCUAAGCAGGGUCGGGCCUGGUUAGUACUCGGUUGGGAGAACAAGCACAUCAGGAGUCUUCUCCA